AUUAAAUAUCUCACAUAAUUUUGUUGAUUGAAAUGCAAUUUUAGAUAAUUACAAAUCAUAAUAGACUAUGAAAAUAUAACGUAAAUGCAACAAUUUUAAAACUUAGGUAUGUACACCCCUGAUAUUCACACUGAUGUAAGAACAGACACAAUUUUUUUGUCAUCGUCGAGACAUAAGUAAACAGUUUUUUUAAUGAAAUUUAACUCACAUGUUGACCACAUUUCAAAAAUAAUUAGGUAUCAUUUUUAAAAACGUUAAUAUGGUGGAUUAUCUAUGUAAAGGGACCUUCUUGUCGAUGGCGCUUACGCCGCACAGCCUUGCGCGGAAUUGUAUUUAUAUCGGAGCAUCGUUAAUAAUGGCGUAAGCGCCGUCGACAAUAAGGUCCUUUUUCAUAGAUAACGUCACAAAUGUACUCUAAGUUGUACUUUUUAGGAUAGCCAAACUUUAAGUAAUAAGUAUACAUCGUAGUUAGGCGUUUAUUUUUAUAGACCGUUUUGGACCAUUAGCAAUGCUUCACCCUUUCGCCGCCAUGGCAUUGAAUGGGUUCGACCAAACAUUUAAAUAAAGUAAGAUAGUCACACUAUCCCAAUUUAGAUUGUACAAUUUGUACAACACAUUCACUAAGCUCGCGACUUGUACGUUGUUAGAGAGAAAAAUACUUUUUGAUCUGCUUUCCAAACUUGAGUUAAUGCGAUCAAAAACACUAUAUUACGUUUUUACAUUUAUUUACAAUGAUUCAUUUUAAACGCCGAAAUUUUUG